rnacentral:rRNA from 1 species
AUCAGCAGUCAUAUGACUGCUACCCGCUGCCCAGCCCAUUUAAAGCUAAGCGGCUUUGGGGCCGGGCCAGUACCUGGCUGGGAGACCAACUGGGAAAGCUGGGUUGCUGCUGGAA